UACGAAGGGGGCUAGCGUUGCUCGGAAUCACUGGGCGUAAAGGGCGCGUAGGCGGAUCUUUAAGUUGGGGGUGAAAGCCCAGGGCUCAACUCCGGAAUUGCCUUUAAGACUGCAUCGCUAGAAUUGUGGAGAGGUAAGUGGAAUUCCGAGUGUAGAGGUGAAAUUCGUAGAUAUUCGGAAGAACACCAGUGGCGAAGGCGACUUACUGGACACAUAUUGACGCUGAGACGCGAAAGCGUGGGGAGCGAACAGG
rnacentral:rRNA from 1 species